rnacentral:rRNA from 1 species
GACAGAGGGUGCAAACGUUGCUCGGAAUUACUGGGCGUAAAGCGCGUGUAGGUGGAUUGGUGUGUCAGAUGUGAAAGCCCUGGGCUCGACCCAGGAACUGCACCUGAAACUACCAGUCUUGAGUGGUGGAGAGGGAAGUGGAAUUCCUGGUGUAGAGGUGAAAUUCGUAGAUAUCAGGAGGAACACCAGUGGCGAAGGCGGCUUCCUGGACACCAACUGACGCUGAGACGCGAAAGCGUGGGGAGCAAACAGG